GCGUGUGCAUCUAUGAUCGGAUAUAUGAUUAAGAGGAGCUUAGGAUGUUAGAGACACGUGGCUGAAUGCUACUACUGUGUUAAGAUAAAACCAUUGUUAUAUACGUACAAAUCUUCAAGCAAGGGUAGGUUGGAUAUAACGUUAGAAGAUCUGAACUCUGUUUGUUUGUCACCCUUGUGUGACCUCUGAACUUUAUGCCCGGGUGACCAUCUGGCUUUUGAAUGAUGAUGCUGAAUGAUAUGGCCAACAGUAAUACAACAGUGGACCACUCCUGUCAGAAAACGUCAUUAUGGAAUGAUGAUAUAUUUUCCGGGUCGGCUCCAAGAUUUCCAGACUGUUUCCAGAAUACGGUAUUAGUCUGGAUUCCAUGUGGAUUCCUGCUUCUAUGUUCGCCAUUCCAGAUCGCUAGCUUGUGUCACAAUUAUGUCGGAUAUCCUCUGCCACUUGGAAUCAGGAGUAUUAUA